UACAGAGGGGGCAAGCGUUAUUCGGAAUUAUUGGGCGUAAAGGGCGCGUAGGCGGCUUGGCAAGUGGAUGGUGAAAUCCCUCGGCUUAACCGAGGAACUGCCGUCCAAACUGCUUCGCUUGAGACCGGGAGAGGUGAGUGGAAUUCCCAGUGUAGCGGUGAAAUGCGUAGAUAUUGGGAGGAACACCAGUGGCGAAGGCGGCUCACUGGACCGGUACUGACGCUGAGGCACGAAAGCGUGGGUAGCAAACAGG
rnacentral:rRNA from 1 species